rnacentral:lncRNA from 1 species
UCAUUAUUGCAAACACAUCAUCAGAAAUACAUUUCCAGCAAAAACAAUUAGGACAAGAGGUGUCAAUUAAGUUUCAUCACAAAUAAAAAUCGCCAUGAAGAUAAAAAGGAGAACACACCUGCUUUUGAUGCCACUGAUGACACCUGAAAAAAA